ensembl:lncRNA
GUUCAAACUCCUCAUUAAAUCUGAACAGAAGCAACAAAGCGUGAUAACAGGAGCCAAAUUUCUGGGUCUCUGAGAAAAUUUCAUGCAAUUGCAGGCCGCGUCUUAAACAUCACAAAUGAACUGGCAGGUGCUGCUUGUCACUGUGCUCUUUGUUGAUGUUCUACUUUCCCUGGAAGUCUAACUCAGUCCCCAGCUUCUGGGCUUGUCCCUGGACUUCAUUACUGUGUUGCUGGUGAACUGAGCUGAAACCAAAUGAAGUGUUUACUGGUAUUAUCCCUAUUUGAUGGAGAGGAUACCGAGGCUCACAGAGAAUUCAUAACUUGUCCAAGACCGUCUAAUGUCAAGUAAUCAAGAGUGAAUGACCCCGCAGCACAUAUACCAGCUGAGACCAACCUUGGAUUGGGGGAAAACUUCCAGAGGCAGAGCAGCAGCAGAAAUGUUUCUCUGUAUUGUGAGGCUGCAAGAUCACCCAGGGAGAGUGGGGCCAAAUAGGCUGAAACAUCUGACACACUGAAUAUCAGAUCAGUUGCUCAGUCAUGUCCGACUCUUUUGCGACCCCAUGAAUCGCAGCACGCCAGGCCUUCCUGUCCAUCACCAACUCCCGGAGUUCACUCAGACUCACGUCCAUCAAGUCGGUGAUGCCAUCCAGCCAUCUCAUCCUCUGUCGUCCCCUUCUCCUCUUGCCCCAAUCCCUCCCAGCAUAGUAGCUAUUAUAUCUCCAGUGUCUAGAACAGAGUCUGACAUACCAAAAAGUGUUUCUAAAUGUCAAAAGCAAGUAUACUGUAUCAGUUCUACAUGGUUAACCUGUUAUUUUUGAUAUUUUAAGUG